GAGUUUGAUCCUGGCUCAGAACGAACGCUGGCGGCGUGCCUAACACAUGCAAGUCGAACGGGAUGAGGGGCUUGCUCCUCAUUUAGUGGCGCACGGGUGAGUAACGCGUAGAUAAUCUGCCUGAUGAUCCGGGAUAACACUUCGAAAGGGGUGCUAAUACCGGAUAAGCCCACGGGUUCUUUGGAAUCUGCGGGAAAAGGGGGGGACCUUCGGGCCUUCUGUCAUCAGAUGAGUCUGCGUACCAUUAGCUAGUUGGUGGGGUAAUGGCCUACCAAGGCGACGAUGGUUAGCUGGUCUGAGAGGAUGAUCAGCCACACUGGAACUGAGACACGGUCCAGACUCCUACGGGAGGCAGCAGUGGGGAAUUUUGCGCAAUGGGGGAAACCCUGACGCAGCAACGCCGCGUGAGUGAUGAAGGCUUUCGGGUCGUAAAGCUCUGUCAGAGGGGAAGAAAUGGGUCGCGCUAAUAUCGCGGYUUCUUGACGGUACCCUCAAAGGAAGCACCGGCUAACUCCGUGCCAGCAGCCGCGGUAAUAC
rnacentral:rRNA from 1 species